GACGUAGGGUGCGAGCGUUGUCCGGAUUUAUUGGGCGUAAAGAGCUCGUAGGCGGCUCGUCGCGUCGUCCGUGAAAACUCUGGGCUUAACCUGGGGCUUGCGGUCGAUACGGGCGGGCUAGAGUUCGGUAGGGGAGACUGGAAUUCCUGGUGUAGCGGUGAAAUGCGCAGAUAUCAGGAGGAACACCGGUGGCGAAGGCGGGUCUCUGGGCCGAUACUGACGCUGAGGAGCGAAAGCGUGGGGAGCGAACAGG
rnacentral:rRNA from 1 species